AUUGAACGCUGGCGGCAGGCCUAACACAUGCAAGUCGAGCGGAAGAAGGGAGCUUGUUCCUGGUUUCAGCGUGGGACGGGUGUGUGAUACAUAUGAGUCUGCCUGGUUGGGGGUUAUAAUGUCCUCAAACGGGUGCUAAUACUGCAUACGUCCAGAGCCAGAAAGAGGGGGAGCUUCGGACCUCAUGCUCUGAGGCGGACCUAGGCCGGAUUAGCUAGUUGGUGGGGUAAAGGGCUACCAAGGCGAGCAUCCGUAGCUGGUCUGAGAGGGUGAUCAGGCACACUGGAACUGAGACACGGUCAAGACGACUACGGGAGGCAGCAGAGGGGAAUAUUGGACAAUGGGGGAAAGCCUGAUCCAGCCAUGCCGCGUGUGUGAAGAAGGCCUUCGGUUUGUAAAGAAGUUUGUGUGGGGAGGAAGGGCGGUAGGUUAAUACCUAGCUGUAGUGACGUUACCAAAAGAAUAAGCACCGGCUAACUACGUG
rnacentral:rRNA from 1 species